UACGUAGGGUGCGAGCGUUAAUCGGAAUUACUGGGCGUAAAGGGCGCGUAGGCGGUACGACAAGUCGGGAGUGAAAGUCCGGGGCUCAACCCCCGGGGACGGCUUUCGAAAACUGUCGAACUCGAGUGCAGAAGAGGCAACUGGAAUUCCCAGUGUAGCGGUGAAAUGCGUAGAUAUUGGGAAGAACACCAGUGGCGAAGGCGGCUCACUGGCCCGAUACUGACGCUGAGGCACGAAAGCGUGGGGGAGCAAACAGG
rnacentral:rRNA from 1 species